rnacentral:rRNA from 1 species
CCCUUAGAUGUCCGGGGCCGCACGCGCGCUACACUGAAGGAAUCAGCGUGGCUUUCUCCCUGACCCGAAAGGGUUGGGAAACCCGUUGAAUCUCCUUCGUGAUAGGGAUUGGGGCUUGAAAUUGUUCCCCAUGAACGAGGAAUUCCCAGUAAGCGCGAGUCAUAAGCUCGAGUUGAUUACGUCCCUGCCCUUUGUACACACCGCCCGUCGCUACUACCGAUUGAACGGUUUAGUGAGGGCCUCGGAUUGGUCUCGGCCCGCUCUUUACCGGGCGGCGCCGUUGGUCGAGAAGACGCUCGAACUUGAUCGUUUAGAGGAAGUAAAAGUCGUAACA